GAUGAACGCUGGCGGCGUGCCUAAUACAUGCAAGUCGAGCGAACAGACGAGGAGCUUGCUGCUCUGACGUUAGCGGCGGACGGGAGAGUAACACGUGUAUAAUCUACUUAUAAGACUGGGAUAACUUCGGGAAACCGGAGCUAAUACCGGAUAAUAUAUUGAACCGCAGGGUGCAAUAGUGAAAGACGGUUUUGCUGGCACUUAUAGAUGGAUCCGGGCCGUAUUAGCUAGUUGUGAAGGUAAAGGCUUACCAAGGCAACGAGGCGUAGACGACCGGAGAGAGUGAUCGGCCACAUGAGAGCUGGAACACGGACAAGACUCCUACGGGAGGCAGCAGAAGGGAAUCUGACGCAGUAGGCGAAAGCCUGACGCAACAGCGCCGAGUGAGUGGUGGCGGUCUUCGGUUCGUAAAACUCUGUUAUUAGGGAAGAACAACUGUGUACGUUAAUAUGCCCGUCUUGACGGUAACUAGUCAGAAAGCAACGGCUAACUACGUG
rnacentral:rRNA from 1 species